CUUCAUAUAAGUUGUUUCCCUGUGUCCCAUAGUUACACAGGUUCAAGAAUUUCUAAAUUUGAAGCUGUGUAGGAUGAGUUAUGGCCAAUUAACUAACCCUGACUCUUGGAUCAUGUAACUCAAGGAUUUCAGGUUACAGGUCUAUCUUACAAUUAAUUUCUAAGGGUUUUACACUCAAAAUUUGAGUAAGGUUUCUAAACCAAAGUUGUAGCUUUAUUUCUUAAGUUUUCAGAUCAGUUUGACUCAUUCCAAUUGAAGUUUUCUAGUGGAAGUUAUGGUCUAUUUACCAUUCAGGGGUCAAAUGGCACAUCUGUCUACGUGUAGGAAUUCCAGGUUAGGAAUUCCUGAAUUUUCCUAGCAAUUUCCCUAAUUUACAUUUGGUUUUGGGUUCUGGUCAAAACAUCAAAAUUGUAGCUCUAGGUCUUAUGAGAAUUUUGGCUUUUGAAUCACUGCAUUUGCAGUUUUGUA
rnacentral:misc_RNA from 1 species